GCUUGACGGACACGAACAGCCUCGGCGGCGAGCGGGAUCUCGUAUGCCCGCGAAAUGUUUAAUUAAAACCGGGGAGCGUCUGGGUUUUGGGUUGCACGGGGUGAACUGCGACUUUGCUAAGUCUGCUUCAGUGACAAGGACAUCUGGAAAGAGGCGACGAGAGUGACGAGUCUCAACCCUGAGAGAGAGAGAGAAAGCGCCAGCACUGAGCCCCGCACUUUUGAUGCACCAGAUACCGGUUUUGUUCUCUUUCAAAGGGUUUCCGUUUGUUUGCUGACUGUAGGCUGCUUGCCUAAUGGUAAUUAGAGCGAAUCGUGUGUUUUUUUUAAGUGGAAACACUAUUUAAUUUUCUACUUAUUUUUAGAGAAUUUGAUGCAUCGAGAUCUACUCAAACGUUCAUAUAAAAGUCACACCGUGGACUUAGUAUCAGUACAAAAAACGAUAAGGUGUUUGGAAAUGGUCGUUUUGAUGGCAAAUGCACUGGAGCAGUACCAGAUGGUGUUGUAAAACACCUCAGGAUAAAAAUGCAAAUGACAAAAUCCUUAGGCCUGAAGGAGCAGUUACUGCAUCAGCACUGGGAAACAGCAACGCUAAUGCUGCACAAAACGCAGUGCAGAUGGGAUGGGUUAGCACAGCCAACUGCGCUACAUGCAGAUACAAAAAAAAUGUAUAUUUUCAUGACAAGCCUUGCAAAUACAGAAUUACAUACCCUAUAACUUGUUCCAUCGAAGAACUGAUGAGAGGAGGCGUGGCCAAGAGCGACAUCCUCUGAUAGGAGACGGAGCCGAGACGGCCAGAGUAUGCUCGGGGGAGUCUGCUGAUGACGUCUUUCGAGCCACCCUCUGGCACGUUUAAUUAGGUUGGAUUUGUGAGCAGCUCUGAUCGAGACUAACUGUUGGAGUUGCACGGGAAGUUGAAUCGGAUCAGAGCAGAAAGGACAAGGGUCUGUACCGUGAUAUGUGGAAUAAGGCAAAUUAUCUUGCAGGAUGCUGUGAAAGCCACAGGGCCCGCUGUGAAGCAUUUUAUUUCUGCAGCAAUGGUUUGUCCUGGACAAAGGUACCUUCAUCUAAGGUCACAGCCAGAUCUAUGAAAGUGAUAAGUUGAGCUGAACAAUAAAUCAGGGAACAAAAGAUGACAUCAGUUAUAGAGAGCUCUUGGUUUUCAGGGAACCUUCGGGUUUUUGAAUGGAAAAAUCAUUCUAUACUAUUACAUUCAAGCUAUACACACUGGAACACUUAAAUUACUUGGUUUCAUAUGGUUCCAUAACUAGUUAGAAAACAAUCACAUCGAAGGAUUUUUGCCAGAAUGGCUAAAUCAAUUUGACUGAAGGCCUGAUUGACCCGUUCUACUUGAAAAGAUACAGAUAACUUGCAUCACAUUGUUUAGAUUAGUAAUAGUAACAUAGUCUUGGCAGCUUCCAAAAGCAAACUGUUGUCUUUUGCAAAGCCGGAAGGCACAUCCUAAGCUCUCAUUAUUUUGAUUAAACCACACAGACAACAUGCUUUCCUACACGGGUUAAUGGAGUGGCCCUUUACCUCAAAAAGAAUUGAUUUAAUUAAACCACAAGGAGUUUCACAGAAUAAUAAACAAACACUAUUUCAAUAGUUAAGUUUAGCCCAGGACAUUGUUUACAUUGUGCAGUCCCACCAUGUAUGGAAAAAGGUCCAAUUUAAUCUAACAGGGCUUAGGGGCGAUUUACCACCUUCUCGUUUGUUAUGGUUGGAGGAGCUUGCAUUGAUUCAUAAGAAGGCAGAAGCUAAGUCGAGUCGACGAUGAGCACACACGUCUGCAGGAGGUAAAACCUUCCAGGGGUUAAAUGAAGGCCAGAGCAACACUGUUGGAAAUAUUGGACACAAACCAAAUAAGAAAAGGAAUGACACAAGCAAUACGGACACCUUCCUUUUUCUUAUUUUCUCAUGAAGUUUGUAAUAUCAAAUAAUACAAUUACAAUAGAAAAGGACACAGUUACAUUUGUAAUAGAAUGGUAAAUUCAGGGUUCUACACACAUCAGUAUUGUUACACAAGAUGCCAUUUUAUGAGAUCUUUCCCAGCACGUUACUUUGAUGUCCAUGCAUGUAUACAAUUUUCUACAUUUAUGUGUCAUUUGUGUUUACGCUUGAAGGCAACAUGCAAGAUGAUGUGGAUCUGAGCAGCCGACAGGACCCUUAAAUGUAGACAAUUACAUUUUUAUAUGAGCAUAGACGUAGAGAUCAACAUGCACGCAUUAGAGUUUUAUUCCUAAAUAUGAAAUAAUGAUGAGGAAUCAUAACUGUAAGGGUUGUUAGAGACUAUUCUCUUGCUACGAUAAAUUUAAAUGAAUGAAUCUAUCAUUUUGUGCAUGCAUGUGGCUUUCCUGCCAAGGACCCCUUGGGUGUGCCUCUUUCAUUGCCUGCAGAGAACCUGGGGUUUUGUAUAGCAGCAAUCUCACCCCUGCCAUUGGCCUGAGAGUCGCAGACAGCAGGACCCUCGAGGGCUCGAAGGUGCCGCUGAUUAUUGAAACACCUGCUUGUGUAGCAGUCCUCAGGCCCGGUGCUGCAUCCCUCCUGGGAUAAAGGGGAUUACAAAGCAGGCUGUAGAUCAACAGUGAAGACAAGAGGACAUUUGCUAAGGAGAGGAAGAAGUGGUCUGUGCCAAGGAGAGGAAACAGCGGUCUGUGCCACAAGAGAAGAGUGACAUUUAAAACUCUCCACCACAGCAGAGCAUGGCCGUCUGGAGAGCCAAGGGGGCUGAAAACAAUCAUGGAGAAGGAGGGGAAUAAAGGAGCAGUGUCCCAGAAAAGGGUGGGAUGCCUGAAUGUCCCAGCAGGUGGAGGGAGCUGACAACUCUGAUGCUGGGGCCAAAAUAUAUUAGCAAAACUCUCGAUUGUCCUGGGAGAAUAAGGAAGCAGAAUAUACUGUCAUUCUGCCUUUGUUUUUGAUUCAUUUUCAUUUCAGGAUAGUGUGGAAAUUACGUGACAUUGCCAUGUUUAACAUUUUAUUACAGUAGCUAUAUGUCAUGCAAACACAAUUUUGCAGACAUUACCGCAAUAGAAAAGCAUUUAUCUCGAGGACUUUGAAGAAAUUUCGAGGAAUACCAAACACAAACCCUUCUUUGCUGUAACCUGUCCUGCUUGAACUGUUCAUUUUUUCUGACAACGUGAAGGUUUUUCGAUUUUAGAAGAGACAGGAAACCGAAAUUGGCAUUUAAUGUCAGCAUCAUGCAUAGGUUUUGAUGUUAA